CUGAAACCCGGACCUCCUUAUUUUAAGUUGACGGUCCAAGAGUUUAUAUGAGCUGGGUAAGGUCUUAAGACUAGACGUUUGAGGGGUACCACUACAGUUCCUAGGCCAGAGGAGCCUAGAGGAACUUGGGAGUGAAUGGGGAAGGCUGACAUUUUUAAUUUGGCUUUAAAUUGGAAAGAAUUGUGUUUAUAAAGUCUGAACAACUGCUUGAUAGAGAAAUGAGAGACUGACCGUGUUCAGCUCCGAAGAAAAGGGACACUUGCUCCUCCCGGCCUUUACCAAAAGGCGCCCUUAGGUGACUAAGGACCUCAGUGGGAGUGUCAGAGGAUCAAUCCUCCAGACGUGCAGCGGUCCCAAAGGGAACUCCACUCUCAUUCAUGGUAAUUAGUUACAGGCUCGUCCGGGGGAGUGCACAUAAGGGCUGGUCACUCCCGCACUCCCAGCUCCCACGGCUGUAUUAGGCGGCCGGACAGAAAAACCGAGGCACGUAAGAGAAUGUUUACGACCUUUCUACAGGGACUAACACUCACAAGCAGCACACUUCUGACCCACUACACUGUCCUUAGAAGUUGUUCAGACUUUAUAACAAAACAAUAUUAAAAGAGAAGUGGGAAAUCGAGCUUCUAAAACAGCUAGAUCAGUUCCCAAAUGGGCAGCCUUUCUUCCAGACUGCAGUUGGCUUCAUGCUGUGAUUGCAGUUGCUUAACAAAGGGGGAUCCCAAACUAGAUUGCUAAGGCCAAAAGAAAGAAUAAGAAAGAGAAAAAAAAACUGGGAAAACAAGUUUUUUCACCACGGUCUGCUAUGAGAACACCAAAGUCAAAUCUAAGGAAAAUGUUUGUCUGUAUGUCUGUCUGUCUGUGUGUGUCUAUAUAUGUUACAAAAGUUUUUAUAUUUUACCCCCGGAUGGUACAAUUUCUAAAGAGCUCCAUUCAAUUGACUUAAACCUGACUUCCCUUGGUCACAGCAACACCCACGUCUGUGCGCACACACCCCCGCCCCCACAUUAGCUGCCGCAAACACCUUUUCGGUAUUGUCUUUUCCCUUGUGCGUGGCUUGCUCUUGAUUCGCCAGUGAGUCUGCGUUGUACUUCGAACAAAUAUCCUCACGAAGCAAGAACACGGCAAGUGGGUGUCGCUAGAGCGCAGGAGACAGUUUCUGUGACCCCGGGUGACGGAGGAGGCUGAGAGUUGCAGAGGAAGGCUCCGGCUGUGCAGACAUGGGAAGCCCACGACGACCCUCAGCAGUCUGGCCCAGGCCACCUUGAGCAACCCCACCUCCAGAGCCCCCGCCACGACCUACCCCAUGGGCGAAUUCUCUACUGUUGCUGCUGGGAGCAUAGGAUGCUGAGCUGGAAUACCAGGGAAAUUACUGAGGCAAUUAAAAUUGGAAAUUGGGGUUUAUUGAGAGAAUUCUCUUCCAGAUUAAACGGCACUGACUUUGUUAACAUUGGCGGCAACAUUCGCCAAGACCUCCCCCCUUCUAAAAUUCCUUUCAUCCAGAGUCUCGAUAGUGGAAGGAAAGAGCAGUCCAACAGACCAUCUAAGAAAAUCUGCUGUGGGUCAGAUAAAAGUGCGAAGCUCCCUGACGCCGAGUGGAGAGACGAGGGAAGAGAGAGACAGGGCUGUGGGGGAGCUGCGCACACCCAGCUGCAUGGUCCUGAGCAGGAAUGCACAAUUGCUGCCUGUUCAGAAACGCAAUUCACUGUGACAAAGCUGUCAGGCAACCAUUCUGAGGCCUUUAGAACGAUUGGACUUCCAUAAAGCUCUGCCACAUGUACACUCCCCACAAUCGAUCCCACUUAUCCAGAGCGGCUGUCCUGAUGGCCAUUUGACCGGCCUGAACUCCUAGAGAAGGCGCCUGGCAGUAACACUCUAGAUUUAGGUUUGCACUUUGUCAGUGUUGACUGUGUUGAUUUAUUAAACAAAAUUUUUAAAAGACUAAAACUGUGGAUUUUUCUAAAGUGGAGAUUUGGCAGUUAGCUAUUGAAUUCACGUGAACAACCAAACUGGAUAAUUCUCCUAAAUUUUAUCCCCUCCAGGGCACAAAAUUUGAGUCAAAUAAUCAAGGAGUCUAUAUCGGGCAUCUGCUGGGGGUCAAGGGUGAAUUUGAUUAUUUACACUGACUUCAACAUAUGAGAAUAACCGCGAAGCUGGGGUGCAGGCGAGAGGAGUUGUUGCUAUCAGGAUUACGAUGACAUUGUAGCGGAUGCUGUUGGUUCUUAUCUGUUACCCCCUCUUCUCCCUCACAGAAGUCCCUCCCCAGCUUUAGGGAUGAUCUUUUUUAGCGCUCCAGUAUGGUAAUUCCAACUCCCUUGCCAGGAAUGGGUUUGGGAUCUCAGCCCACCAGUGCGUGGCCUUGAUCUGGGUCUGAUAUCGAUUGCGAGCUGGCACACGAUCCCAUCGUCCUGAUGGGAAAGACUUUUGUUCCAUGGUGGGGGGUGGGGUGGGAGGUGCCUCUCUCCAGCUGAAUGUGACCAAGUCAGCCUGUGGUCCCAGUUGCUGAGGAGGGAAGCCCGCCUGAGGACAAGACCAGCAGGUGAAGCAGAACUAGGAAUUCAAGGGAAACUGAGCCAGGGCCCUGCCUGGACCAUACCCGGACCAUACCUGGACC
rnacentral:lncRNA from 1 species